GACGAACGCUGGCGGCGUGCUUAACACAUGCAAGUCGAACGGAAAGGCCCUGCUUUUGUGGGGUGCUCGAGUGGCGAACGGGUGAGUAACACGUGAGUAACCUGCCCUUGACUUUGGGAUAACUUCAGGAAACUGGGGCUAAUACCGGAUAGGAGCUCCUGCUGCAUGGUGGGGGUUGGAAAGUUUCGGCGGUUGGGGAUGGACUCGCGGCUUAUCAGCUUGUUGGUGGGGUAGUGGCUUACCAAGGCUUUGACGGGUAGCCGGCCUGAGAGGGUGACCGGCCACAUGGGGACUGAGAUACGGCCCAGACCCCUAGGGGGGGCAGCGGGGGGGAAUAUUGCACAAGGGGGGGAAGCCUGAUGCAGAAACGCCGGGGGGGGGAUGCGGGCCUUCGGGUUGAAAACCGCUUUCCCCGGGGACGAAGGGUGGGUGACGGUAAUGGGUAAAGAAGCACCGCCUAACUACGU
rnacentral:rRNA from 1 species